AUAUUGGAUCUGAUCCAGAGCCCAUUGAAGUCAAUGGAAAUCUUUCCAUUCACUUCCAAUAGGCUUUGGAUCAGGACCAUUAU
rnacentral:pre_miRNA from 1 species